GGGAUUGUAGCUCAGCUGGUUAGAGCGCACGCUUGAUAAGCGUGAGGUCGUUGGUUCAAGUCCAAUCAGUCCCACCA
rnacentral:tRNA from 1 species